rnacentral:rRNA from 1 species
CCCCCUGGACGGAGACUGACGCUCAGGUGCGAAAGCGUGGGGAGCAAACAGGAUUAGAUACCCUGGUAGUUCACGCCGUAAACGAUGUCGACUUGGAGGUUGUGCCCUUGAGGCGUGGCUUCCGGAGCUAACGCGUUAAGUCGACCGCCUGGGGAGUACGGCCGCAAGGUUAAAACUCAAAUGAAUUGACGGGGGCCCGCACAAGCGGUGGAGCAUGUGGUUUAAUUCGAUGCAACGCGAAGAACCUUACCUGGUCUUGACAUCCACGGAAGUUUCAGAGAUGAGAAUGUGCCUUCGGGAACCGUGAGACAGGUGCUGCAUGGCUGUCGUCAGCUCGUGUGUGAAAUGUGUAUGCCCGCACCGC